GGUCAAGCGAACAAGUGCAUGUGGUGGAUGCCUUGGCGAUCACAGGCGAUGAAGGACGCGGUAGCCUGCGAAAAGCCCCGGGGAGCUGGCAAACAAGCUUUGAUCCGGGGAUGUCCGAAUGGGGAAACCCACUCCGUAUGGAGUAUCCAUGACUGAAUACAUAGGUCAUGUGAAGCGAACGCGGUGAGCUGAAACAUCUAAGUAACCGCAGGAAAAGAAAUCAACCGAGAUUCCCAAAGUAGUGGCGAGCGAAAUGGGAUGAGCCUUGUACUCUUUAUUCGUAUUGUUAGCCGAACGCUCUGGAAAGUGCGGCCAUAGCAGGUGAUAGCCCUGUAGGCGAAAACAGUAUGAAAGAACUAGGUGUACGACAAGUAGGGCGGGACACGUGAAAUCCUGUCUGAAGAUGGGGGGACCAUCCUCCAAGGCUAAAUACUCGUGAUCGACCGAUAGUGAACCAGUACCGUGAGGGAAAGGCGAAAAGAACCCCGGGAGGGGAGUGAAAUAGAUCCUGAAACCGCAUGCAUACAAACAGUCGGAGCCUCGUAAGGGGUGACGGCGUACCUUUUGUAUAAUGGGUCAGCGACUUACGUUCAGUAGCAAGCUUAACCGUAUAGGGCAGGCGUAGCGAAAGCGAGUCCGAAUAGGGCGUUCAGUUGCUGGGCGUAGACCCGAAACCAGGUGAUCUAUCCAUGGCCAGGAUGAAGGUGCGGUAACACGUACUGGAGGUCCGAACCCACUAACGUUGAAAAGUUAGGGGAUGAGCUGUGGAUAGGGGUGAAAGGCUAAACAAACCUGGAAAUAGCUGGUUCUCUCCGAAAACUAUUUAGGUAGUGCCUCGUGUCUCACCUUCGGGGGUAGAGCACUGUCAUGGUUGGGGGGUCUAUUGCAGAUUACCCCGCCAUAGCAAACUCCGAAUACCGAAGAGUGCAAUCACGGGAGACAGACAUCGGGUGCUAACGUCCGGUGUCAAGAGGGAAACAACCCAGACCGCCAGCUAAGGUCCCCAAAUAUGGCUAAGUGGGAAACGAAGUGGGAAGGCUAAAACAGUCAGGAGGUUGGCUUAGAAGCAGCCACCCUUUAAAGAAAGCGUAAUAGCUCACUGAUCGAGUCGUCCUGCGCGGAAGAUGUAACGGGGCUAAGCCAUAUACCGAAGCUGCGGAUGCGUGCUUGCACGCAUGGUAGGAGAGCGUUCCGUAAGCCUGCGAAGGUGCCUUGUAAAGGGUGCUGGAGGUAUCGGAAGUGCGAAUGCUGACAUGAGUAGCGAUAAAGGGGGUGAAAGGCCCCCUCGCCGUAAGCCCAAGGUUUCCUACGCAACGUUCAUCGGCGUAGGGUGAGUCGGCCCCUAAGGCGAGGCAGAAAUGCGUAGCUGAUGGGAAGCAGGUCAAUAUUCCUGCACCAUUGUUAGAUGCGAUGGGGGGACGGAUCGCGGAAGGUUGUCCGGGUGUUGGACGUCCCGGUCGCUGCAUUGGAGAAGGCGCUUAGGCAAAUCCGGGCGCGGAAUUCAAGGGUGUGGCGCGAGCUCCUUAGGGAGCGAAGCAAUUGGAAGUGGUUCCAAGAAAAGCCUCUAAGCUUCAGUCUAACGAUGACCGUACCGCAAACCGACACAGGUGGGCGAGAUGAGUAUUCUAAGGCGCUUGAGAGAACUCGGGAGAAGGAACUCGGCAAAUUGGUACCGUAACUUCGGGAUAAGGUACGCCCUUGUAGCUUGACUGGCCUGCGCCAGGAGGGUGAAGGGGUUGCAAUAAACUGGUGGCUGCGACUGUUUAAUAAAAACACAGCACUCUGCAAACACGAAAGUGGACGUAUAGGGUGUGACGCCUGCCCGGUGCCGGAAGAUUAAAUGAUGGGGUGCAAGCUCUUGAUUGAAGUCCCGGUAAACGGCGGCCGUAACUAUAACGGUCCUAAGGUAGCGAAAUUCCUUGUCGGGUAAGUUCCGACCUGCACGAAUGGCGUAACGAUGGCCACACUGUCUCCUCCCGAGACUCAGCGAAGUUGAAGUGUUUGUGAUGAUGCAAUCUACCCGCGGCUAGACGGAAAGACCCCAUGAACCUUUACUGUAGCUUUGCAUUGGACUUUGAACCGAUCUGUGUAGGAUAGGUGGGAGGCUAUGAAACCGGAACGCUAGUUUCGGUGGAGCCGUCCUUGAAAUACCACCCUGGUUUGUUUGAGGUUCUAACCUUGGUCCGUGAUCCGGAUCGGGGACAGUGCAUGGUAGGCAGUUUGACUGGGGCGGUCUCCUCCCAAAGGGUAACGGAGGAGUACGAAGGUACGCUAGGUACGGUCGGAAAUCGUGCUGAUAGUGCAAUGGCAUAAGCGUGCUUAACUGCGAGACCGACAAGUCGAGCAGGUGCGAAAGCAGGUCAUAGUGAUCCGGUGGUUCUGUAUGGAAGGGCCAUCGCUCAACGGAUAAAAGGUACUCUGGGGAUAACAGGCUGAUACCGCCCAAGAGUUCAUAUCGACGGCGGUGUUUGGCACCUCGAUGUCGGCUCAUCUCAUCCUGGGGCUGUAGCCGGUCCCAAGGGUAUGGCUGUUCGCCAUUUAAAGAGGUACGUGAGCUGGGUUUAAAACGUCGUGAGACAGUUUGGUCCCUAUCUGCCGUGGGCGUUGGAUAUUUGAAGGGGGCUGCUCCUAGUACGAGAGGACCGGAGUGGACGAACCUCUGGUGUACCGGUUGUGACGCCAGUCGCAUCGCCGGGUAGCUAUGUUCGGAAGAGAUAACCGCUGAAAGCAUCUAAGCGGGAAACUCGCCUUAAGAUGAGAUAUCCCUGGAGGCUUGACCUCCUUGAAGGGUCGUUCGAGACCAGGACGUUGAUAGGUCGGGUGUGUAAGCGCAGUAAUGCGUUCAGCUAACCGAUACUAAUUGCCCGUAAGGCUUGAUCCU
rnacentral:rRNA from 1 species